rnacentral:lncRNA from 1 species
AGAACAUAAACCUCCACAUGGAUAAAGACUGAAUUACUUUUCUGUAUAUCAUUUGCUGUGCCUCGUACUGGGGCUGGCACAUGGUAAGUGCUUAGCAUGUUUUUGUUGACUAACAAAUGAAUGAUUUCUGUUGGGCUUGGCUCUGCCUCAUUUCACUGUGAGCCUCUGGUUCCAUUUUAAUUCAGGUCCACAACCUCUUCUCAUCCUUAUUUUCUACUGGAAGCGGAGAAGGAGUGAGUCAAACCCUAAGGAUGUUCCCUCCACUAUGCAGACUCACAUGAUGGUGAAUCAGGGGUUCUCAGGAUGUUGUUGCCAAGAGACUUCCUCACAGACACUGUGUGCUGCCUUUGUUUUCCUUUCCAAAUGCAUAUGGAGGAAUCUUCCAGAACUGAGGCCCCAUCAGUGAAUUGCACCUGCAGUGUGGUCCUGCACAUUUUUCUGUAACAAGCCCAGGAAUAGAGGCAGGUGAUGUGAUCUAAGGUACAGCCUCAGGUCGCAGGCGGGCUGUUGUCAGUCCUGCCUUCAAACCAGGUGAAUUGCUUGGCCACUCUGGGCCUCAUGUCCUCAUCUCUAAAGCGUGGACGGUGAUGCUGCCUAUCUCAUAGGUAUGCUUUGCAGAUCAGGUGCAUGAGAAAGCCCAGGGAACACCCAUGAAUGGGACUCAUUGUGGCUUUAC